CUACGUGCCAGCAGCCGCGGUAAUACGGAAGGUCCAGGCGUUAUCCGGAUUUAUUGGGUUUAAAGGGAGCGUAGGCCGCCCCUUAAGCGUGUUGUGAAAUGCGGGUGCUCAACAUCCGACUUGCAGCGCGAACUGGGGGGCUUGAGUGCGCCGAAAGUAGGCGGAAUUCGUGGUGUAGCGGUGAAAUGCUUAGAUAUCACGAAGAACUCCGAUUGCGAAGGCAGCUUACUGUAGCGCAACUGACGCUGAUGCUCGAAAGCGUGGGUAUCGAACAGGAUUAGAUACCCUGGUAGUCCGCACGGUAAACGAUGAAUACUCGCAGUUCGGCCUUUAUGGUCGAGUUGUCCAGCGAAAGCGUUAAGUUUUCCACCUGGGGAGUACGCCGGCAACGGUGAAACUCAAAGGAAUUGACAGGGGCCCGCACAAGCGGAGGAACAUGUGGUUUAAUUCGAAGCAACGCGAAGAACCUUACCAAGUCUUGACAUACUG
rnacentral:rRNA from 1 species